ACAAACUUGGUCAUUUAGAGGAAGUAAAAGUCGUAACAAGGUUUCCGUAGGUGAACCUGCGGAAGGAUCAUUACACACUGCGCCAUGCUUGCAGAUGUUCGCAUUUGCAGGUAUAGCCAGCUAACCCUUGUCUAUUUCUACUAUUCGUGAAUCCCUCGGCAGGGACGCCUGCCGCUGGACCCCUGAACUCUGCUGUAUAAAAAGUAUAUAACCUUCUGAACUAUAACAAAAUUGUUACAACUUUCAACAAUGGAUCUCUUGGUUCUGGCAUCGAUGAAGAACGCAGC
rnacentral:misc_RNA from 1 species